rnacentral:rRNA from 1 species
GACAGAGGGUGCAAACGUUGUUCGGAAUUACUGGGCGUAAAGCGCGUGUAGGCGGCUUUGUAUGUCGGGUGUGAAAGCCCUCGGCUUAACCGAGGAAGUGCGCCCGAAACUGCAGAGCUUGAGUGCCGGAGAGGAUAGCGGAACACCCGGUGUAGAGGUGAAAUUCGUAGAUAUCGGGUAGAACACCAGUGGCGAAGGCGGCUAUCUGGACGGACACUGACGCUGAGACGCGAAAGCGUGGGGAGCGAACAGG